rnacentral:snoRNA from 1 species
AGAGUAUAUUAUAUCCCACAAAUGUGAUAAAUUCCACAGACUGGCUGAUAAAGUCACAAAUGUGCAUAGUAUGCUACAUGAGGGGAAAGUUUUUCACUAACACCGCAAGGGUCUCUGGUCCAAUGAAUGAAAUUUGAUAGGAAUCCUUGCUACAAGU